UUUCCGUUGGUGAACCAGCGGAAGGAUCAUUACUGAGAUCAUGCCCUCGCGGGUAGACCUCCCACCCUGUGUAUUACACCUUUGUUGCUUUGGCAGGCCCGCCCCCCGGGGCACUCGGCUCCGGCUGAGCAGCGCCUGCCAGAGGACCCCAACCCUAAUGUUUACGUGUCGUCUGAGUACUAUAUAAUAAGUUAAAACUUUCAACAACGGAUCUCUUGGUUCUGGCAUCGAUGAAGAACGCAGC
rnacentral:misc_RNA from 1 species